CAGACUACAAGAGUAUUGGGGAUGUGAGAAGGGUUAUUGGGGGAGGUAGGGGGCAAACCAGGGAUAAGGAGGCUGUAGAAAUGGAUGCAAAGGGUUCUUGAGUUAAAUAUGAUGGGGAUUUUGCAGUCCUUAAGGUGGAUUCAGCUGUGAGAAAAGAUCUGUGGCUGAGGUAUUUCAUCAUGCAGCUAGGAGGGAAGAGUUGAAAGUACGGAUCCCUGCUCCCAGGAUAGCAGGCACCCUGAUGGCUAAGACUCUCCACACAAAGGUUAGAGCAGCAGGGCACAGGAGCGCAGUUCAUCAAAACAACCGUACUGCUACUGGUGCAUAAGCUGCCUAGCUUGGGAUGCCGCAGAGUGACAAAGCUAGAAGACUGCACAUUGAGAGAUCUAGAAGAUAAAAAAUAAUUGUCACUGGACCAUUCUGAAAAGUGGGCACUGGAAAGAAAAUCGUCAAUACGUUGCUCUCCACUUUUUGCAGUAUGUGAACUAAGCUGUUAAGGAGCCGUAGCAGUGUCUACGUACCUUACCGAUUUCAUGUCACCUGCAAAUCUUUUUUCCAGACUGAAACAGAUGUGACGUCACACUGGUGAAUGCAAACAGUCUUGGACCUUUCUCUUUAUUACAGCUGUUUAGUACCUUAAGUACCGUAACUGUUACUUCUGCUUUGUAUCUACACUUGGAAAAUACUUUGUUUUACAUUUCAACAGAGGGUCAUAAAGGACUUGAUGAAGAGAACAUGCUAGAUUAACAAUAAAUU
rnacentral:lncRNA from 1 species